ACGACCCUACGGGGGGCAGCAGUGAGGAAUAUUGGUCAAUGGGCUUACGCCUGAACCAGCCACGUCGCGUGAGGGAAGACUGCCCUAUGGGUUGUAAACCUCUUUUGUCAGGGAGCAACGCCGGCUACGUGUAGCCGGACUGAGAGUACCUGAAGAAAAAGCAUCGGCUAACUCCGUGCCAGCAGCCGCGGUAAUACGGAGGAUGCGAGCGUUAUCCGGAUUUAUUGGGUUUAAAGGGUGCGUAGGCGGUUCGAUAAGUUAGAGGUGAAAUCCCGGGGCUCAACUCCGGCACUGCCUCUGAUACU
rnacentral:rRNA from 1 species